rnacentral:misc_RNA from 1 species
GGAAGGAUCAUUAACACAAUGUAAUCCAAACCUCCUAAUGUUAGUACUAAUUUGCAUGCUUGUGGGGAAGAUCUUUACCGGUUUUUCCUACAAACAUGUUCUUAUCUAUAUGAACCUUAUUUAGUUAUGCCAAAAAACAUAAUUAAGUAAAUCAUAUUUAAAAAAAAUCUAGAAAAUUUUCAACGAUGGAUAUCUAGGUUCCCAUACCGAUGAAGAGCGCAGCAAAAUGCGAUACGCAAUGCGAAUUGCAGAAUUCCGCGAAUCAUCAGAUCCUUGAACGCAACUGGCGCUGUAGCAAUACAGCAUGUCUGUUUCAGUGUCUGAAAACUUCACAACUAAACAUAAUGUGUUUGACGAAAGGUACGAAAGUACCCCCUCAGUCUUACAUUAAAGAUGUACGUGUGGAUCUUUGGGUCCAUCGAAUUGGUCACUGACAUUUCGGUGAUUUCGAUUGGAUAAUUCAAACCUCUGAUUCAAUUGCACGUAGAAGUUUUUUACUUCAUUUAUCUUUUGCAUCUGAAAUCAGUCAAGAACACCCGCUGAACUUAAGCAUAUUACUAAGCGGAGGAAAAGAAAUUAACGAAGAUUGCCUCAGUAGCGGCGAGCGAAGUGGCAAAAGCUCAAGUCAAAUCUGCAGCCUACGGCUGUCGAAUUGUAAUCUAAAGGUCAAAGCAAAAGGGGAGGCCGAGGCAUAAGUUGCUUGGAACAGCAGGCCAAAGAGGGUGAUAGUCCCGUAUUUGGCCUCAGCCGAACCGAAUGCAGAAACCGUAGAGUCGGGUUGUUUGGGAUUGCAGCCCUAAAUGGGAGAUAAACUUCUUCUAAGGCUAAAUAUUAAUGGGAAACCGAUAGCGAACAAGUACUGUGAAGGAAAGAUGAAAAGAACUUUGAAAAGAGGAUUAAAAGACUUGAAAUCGUUGAAGAGGAAGCGGUAGAAGUGGAUUACUUGGAGGUAAGGCAAGAAACAUGUAUAACCUUCGCAAGCAUAAUGCACGUAAAAGGCUAGUGUAGGCGAAUGGGAAACUUGUUUUGAUCUUACAGCCAAAAGACAGAUCUGUAUCUAGACUACGGAAUAAGUUCGGGGGAAGAUAAACCCAGUUCAAAACGUAGUCCUGGUAUGGUUUCUGUCAAAACGGCUUCUACUGACCCGUCUUGAAACACGGACCAAGGAGUCAAUCGUAUAUGUGAGUUUGCGAGUAAAUAAACUCAUAGGCUUAAUGAAAGUAAGAAUAAGAUGCCAAGGGUAAAACCUGCAGCAUCGGCGGGCCAUGAUCUUCUGUGAAAGGUCCCAGCAAGAACAUAUCCGAUUGGACCCGAAAGAUGGUGAACUAUGCUUGAGUAGGGUGAAGCCAGGGGAAACUCUGGUGGAGGCUCGUAGCGAUUCUAACGUGCAAAUUGAUCGUCAAACUUGAGUAUAGGGGCGAAAGACUAAUCGAACCAUCUAGUAGCUGGUUCCCUC